rnacentral:rRNA from 1 species
AGUGAACGCUGGCGGUAGGCCUAACACAUGCAAGUCGAACGGCAGCACAGUAAGAGCUUGCUCUUACGGGUGGCGAGUGGCGGACGGGUGAGGAAUACAUCGGAAUCUACUUUUUAGUGGGGGAUAACGUAGGGAAACUUACGCUAAUACCGCAUACGACCUACGGGUGAAAGCAGGGGAUCUUCGGACCUUGCGCGAUUGAAUGAGCCGAUGUCGAAUUAGCUAGUUGGCGGGGUAAAGGCCCACCAAGGCGACGAUCCGUAGCUGGUCUGAGAGGAUGAUCAGCCACACUGGAACUGAGACACGGUCCAGACUCCUACGGGAGGCAGCAGUGGGGAAUAUUGGACAAUGGGCGCAAGCCUGAUCCAGCCAUACCGCGUGGGUGAAGAAGGCCUUCGGGUUGUAAAGCCCUUUUGUUGGGAAAGAAAAGCAGCAGGUUAAUACCCCGCUGUUCUGACGGUACCCAAAGAAUAAGCACCGGCUAACUUCGUG